GCCCUGAGGUUCAGUUGGUAGAGCAUGAGAUUUUUAAUCUCAGGGUAAUGGGUUCAAGCUCCACAUUGGGCA